CAAGUGACUAAGAGCUUACGGUGGAUACCUUGGUAUUCAGAAGCGAUGAAGGGCGUGACUACCAGCGAAAUUCUUCGGGGAGUUGGAAGUAAGUUUUGAUCCGGAGGUUCCCGAAUGAGGCAACUUGUAAACUUCUUGCUGAAUAUAUAUGCAAGAUAGAGCGAACCUAGCGAAUUGAAACAUCUUAGUAGCUAGAGGAAAAGAAAGCAAAAGCGAUUCCCUCAGUAGCGGCGAGCGAAAAGGGAUUAGCCCAAACCAUUCAGAUUUAUCUGAUGGGGUUGUGGGACAACGUUUUUAAGAUUAGAAAAAGUUAGAUGAAUUAGUUGGAAUGCUAAACCAUAGAAAGUGAAAGUCUUGUAAUCGAAAACUAGAUCUACUUAAGUUGUAUCCCAAGUAGCAUGGGGCACGUGGAAUCCCGUGUGAAUCAGCGAGGACCACCUCGUAAGGCUAAAUAUUCCUGAAUAACCGAUAGUGAAAUAGUACCGUGAGGGAAAGGUGAAAAGAACCCCGGAAGGGGAGUGAAAUAGAACAUGAAACCGUAAGCUUACAAGCAGUGGAAGGACGACUAAACGUCUGACCUCGUGCCUGUUGAAGAAUGAGCCGGCGACUUGUAGGUAGUGGCAGGUUAAAACAGAGAAUGUUGAAGCCACAGUGAAAGCGAGCUUGAAUAGAGCGUCCGUCACUAUUUACAGACCCGAACCCGGAUGAUCUAGCCAUGACCAGGGUGAAACUUAGGUAACACUGAGUGGAGGUCCGAACCGACUGAUGUUGAAAAAUCAGCGGAUGAGUUGUGGCUAGGGGUGAAAUACCAAUCGAAUUCGGAGCUAGCUGGUUCUCCCCGAAAUGCGUUUAGGCGCAGCGGUUGAUGUUUAGACUUAGGGGUAAAGCACUGUUUCGGUGCGGGCUGCGAGAGCGGUACCAAAUCAAGGCAAACUCUGAAUACUAAGUCACAAGUCAACCAGUGAGACAGUGGGGGAUAAGCUUCAUUGUCAAAAGGGAAACAGCCCAGACCACCAGUUAAGGCCCCAAAAUAAUUGCUAAGUGUGAAAGGAGGUGGGAAUGCAUAGACAACCAGGAGGUUUGCUUAGAAGCAGCAACCCUUUAAAGAGUGCGUAAUAGCUCACUGGUCAAGUGAUCCUGCGCCGAAAAUGAAUGGGACUAAGUAAUUUGCCGAAGCUGUGGGAUGUUUUUACAUCGGUAGGGGAGCGUUCUGCUAUAGUUUGAAGCAUUAGCGAAAGCGGAUGUGGACGGAGCAGAAGUGAGAAUGUCGGCUUGAGUAGCGAAAACAUUGGUGAGAAUCCAAUGCCCCGAAAACCUAAGGAUUCCUCUGGAAGGUUCGUCCACGGAGGGUGAGUCAGGACCUAAGGCGAGGCCGAAAGGCGUAGUCGAUGGGAAUCAGGUGAAUAUUCCUGAGCCAGGUGGAAGUGACGGAUCCCGGCUGUUGUCAUCUCUUAUCGGAUUGAGAUGGCUUCGAAGGUGUCCCAGGAAAUAGCUCCACCAUUAGACCGUACCCUAAACCGACACAGGUGGACUGGUUGAGCAUACCAAGGCGCUUGAGAGAACGACGCUGAAGGAACUCGGCAAAUUGCCUCCGUAACUUCGGGAGAAGGAGGCCCGGGCAUUGGGCAACCAGUGUCCGGGGGCACAGACCAGGGGGUAGCGACUGUUUACUAAAAACACAGGGCUCUGCGAAGUCUUCCAGACGACGUAUAGGGUCUGACGCCUGCCCGGUGCCGGAAGGUUAAGAGGAGAGGUG
rnacentral:rRNA from 1 species